GGUACUUAAGUGAACCAGAUUACACUCGGAGCCUGAGGAAUUGGGCAUGGGUGGCCCUGAGCCCUAGAAACUGAGUAAGGUUAGGUGCCUUUCGCCCAGAGCCCAGCCAGAGACCUGGGAAAGGGCGAAGGUGUGUAAAUCAAUCAGGUUAUGCCUUGAGUCCUAGGAACUGAGUAAAGGUGUGUGCCCUAAAGUGUGCGGGUAACAGCCCCACAUCCACCACUGCUGUUGAGGCUGCUAUACCUGGAGGUAGAGUGCUUCAGGGCCCGUGAGGAGUGUUUGGGGGUCGGGCCAUGACUUCCUACUAAAUGUACCAUCGUUUUAAACUGAUACUGUAAUUUGUUAUCCUGGUGAGGUAUCAAUACUGUUUACAACAUCUGCAUGCUGGACCUAACCCACUUCAUGUUUUCUUUCAACUGCAGGAAAACCUGCUGGAACAGCCAGCUGGAGAGAAGCAAGUGUGAAUCUUCCGUGCAAAGGCUGUAAAGCUAGUCAUAUCUGGCCCAUCUCAGGUCCAGGGAGUUACACUUCCCCAGAGCAAGAAAUCCUCAUUCAAAAACAAGAGCAACAAGAGUUCAGAGGGAAAACUGACAGUCAAUAAACUUUUCCCCACCUUCAAUUCCGGGGAGGGGUUGGGGUGGGGUGGCGGGCGAGACUUCACGCUGCAUCCCGGGAGAAGCUGAAAGGAGCUGCUCACGUGCGGGAGGUGCAGCGAGAAGUCCUGCUGGCCACGGGGAAACAAAAGGCUACAUUGCACCCAAGGAGACAGAGGGGAAAGAAGCUGGCUCAGUGGGAGAGGGGAGGAGGAGAAGCGGUGAAGUUGUUUGCUGCCAGGAGACAGAAAAACAGCCUGAGUUUCGUCCCCCAAAGUGGAGAUGGGGAGGAGAAAGCGUGGAGGGGAAGGGUCAGAGUGCCCUGGCUACAGCCACAAAGAAGGGAAACUAGCAAAAUAAAAGAAAAGCGGAAGAGAGGAAGGAAAAGAAAAAGCCCAAAGUGGGCUGAGCAGUCACCUGGGGCUCGCUGAGCUGCUGCACUCAGUCACUCACUCCUCUGAACCUCCACCCAAACACCUCAGCCUACCACCACAGCGCUCCCUUUUGUAGCCAGCAGCGGCAGCCGCCAGCAAGGGAGCACAGCACAGAGCAGAAGGGCAGCCACCCGCUGCCCAGGGCACAGGCAGGGACGCUUUGGGGGAGGCAUGUGGGGGCAGCAGGUGGGGUCAGGGGAUGCUCUGUGGGAGUCAUGCAGGGUGGCAGGCAGGGCUGGGGGAGAGACCCAGCCCCCAACAUUGGUGAAACUGGGCCGUGGGGGCCUGAAUAUUGCUGGAGCAUGGGAACCACAGACCCAUGUAACUCUCCGCCCGUGUUCCAGAAUUCAUCACAAACUGCAUGAGCUCUCAUGGAACCUCCCUGAAAAACUGCCCUGAAACCAAUUUACUCAGCUGCGUGGGAAUUCUCCUUGGCUCUUUGAGGAUUCCCUGUGCAGAGAGGAAUCCCUUCUGGUUGGGUAUGGCUGCUGCAGCUUGUAGGCCAUCCUGCCUCAGAGCUGUGGCUGCCAGACUAGGCCCUGGAGGUUGCUGACUGUUGGUGCAGGUUAAAGUAGACUGAUCUAAUCUGUGCCAGUGGACUGGCCUGGCGCUGAGCUGCCCAAUGAUCAAGAGGGUGCAAAUGGCAUCUUUACAGUCUGCUCUGGAGCUAUGCUGAGGCACAUUGGUCACAGCUCAGGAUCUGUCCCACUACUUGAAGGUUUCCUACAGUGCCUAUCAUUAACCGAGGCAAUUAGGAAUUACAUGGAAAUCCAGUCCUGGGGUUUCCAGGAAACUUCCUGUUCAGUUUACUGAUGUAAGAAUGUCUAAUAAUUUCUAUUUUGUGGGGAACACUGUAUGUCAAUUCAAGGAAUAAAACCAGAAACAUG